rnacentral:lncRNA from 1 species
AAAAGAUAGAUUUUAGAUCUAAUAGAGAAGGGGUUCAAAUUGAAGAAAGAAAUCCUGCCGACAGGAUUUAUAAGACUGCUGCAACUAGAAAGGCUGUUCUUCUUCAACGUGUUUCAUCCCCUUUCAGGGAGUUUUCUUCAUUGAUCUCCUGGUGGGAGGUACUCCACACACCUAAAAACAUGGCAGAACAAGUGGUAUCAGAGCUUGUAUUAUGUGGAGAGAGAACGAGAUGCCAAAAAGUGAAGAUCUUUAAAGGCUGAAAUUUCAGCAAGAUCCCUACCA